UAGUGAGUUUGAUCCUGGCUCAGAACGAACGCUGGCGGCAUGCCUAACACAUGCAAGUCGAACGAGACCUUCGGGUCUAGUGGCGCAGGGUGCGUAACGCGUGGGAACCUGCCCUUAGGUUCGGAAUAACUCAGAGAAUUGAGCUAAUACCGGAUAAUGUCUUCGGACCAAAGAUUUAUCGCCUUUGGAUGGGCCCGCGUAGGAUUAGCUAGUUGGUAGGGUAACGCCUACCAGGCGACGAUUCCUUAGCUGGUCUGAGAGGAUGAUCAGCC
rnacentral:rRNA from 2 species